rnacentral:rRNA from 1 species
AAAUUGAAGAGUUUGAUCAUGGCUCAGAUUGAACGCUGGCGGCAGGCCUAACACAUGCAAGUCGAGCGGAAACGAGUUAUCUGAACCUUCGGGGAACGAUAACGGCGUCGAGCGGCGGACGGGUGAGUAAUGCCUAGGAAAUUGCCCUGAUGUGGGGGAUAACCAUUGGAAACGAUGGCUAAUACCGCAUGAUGCCUACGGGCCAAAGAGGGGACCUUCGGGCCUCUCGCGUCAGGAUAUGCCUAGGUGGGAUUAGCUAGUUGGUGAGGUAAGGGCUCACCAAGGCGACGAUCCCUAGCUGGUCUGAGAGGAUGAUCAGCCACACUGGAACUGAGACACGGUCCAGACUCCUACGGGAGGCAGCAGUGGGGAAUAUUGCACAAUGGGCGCAAGCCUGAUGCAGCCAUGCCGCGUGUGUGAAGAAGGCCUUCGGGUUGUAAAGCACUUUCAGUCGUGAGGAAGGUAGUGUAGUUAAUAGCUGCAUUAUUUGACGUUAGCGACAGAAGAAGCACCGGCUAACUCCGUGCCAGCAGCCGCGGUAAUACGGAGGGUGCGAGCGUUAAUCGGAAUUACUGGGCGUAAAGCGCAUGCAGGUGGUUUGUUAAGUCAGAUGUGAAAGCCCGGGGCUCAACCUCGGAAUUGCAUUUGAAACUGGCAGACUAGAGUACUGUAGAGGGGGGUAGAAUUUCAGGUGUAGCGGUGAAAUGCGUAGAGAUCUGAAGGAAUACCGGUGGCGAAGGCGGCCCCCUGGACAGAUACUGACACUCAGAUGCGAAAGCGUGGGGAGCAAACAGGAUUAGAUACCCUGGUAGUCCACGCCGUAAACGAUGUCUACUUGGAGGUUGUGGCCUUGAGCCGUGGCUUUCGGAGCUAACGCGUUAAGUAGACCGCCUGGGGAGUACGGUCGCAAGAUUAAAACUCAAAUGAAUUGACGGGGGCCCGCACAAGCGGUGGAGCAUGUGGUUUAAUUCGAUGCAACGCGAAGAACCUUACCUACUCUUGACAUCCAGAGAACUUUCCAGAGAUGGAUUGGUGCCUUCGGGAACUCUGAGACAGGUGCUGCAUGGCUGUCGUCAGCUCGUGUUGUGAAAUGUUGGGUUAAGUCCCGCAACGAGCGCAACCCUUAUCCUUGUUUGCCAGCGAGUAAUGUCGGGAACUCCAGGGAGACUGCCGGUGAUAAACCGGAGGAAGGUGGGGACGACGUCAAGUCAUCAUGGCCCUUACGAGUAGGGCUACACACGUGCUACAAUGGCGCAUACAGAGGGCGGCCAACUUGCGAAAGUGAGCGAAUCCCAAAAAGUGCGUCGUAGUCCGGAUUGGAGUCUGCAACUCGACUCCAUGAAGUCGGAAUCGCUAGUAAUCGUGGAUCAGAAUGCCACGGUGAAUACGUUCCCGGGCCUUGUACACACCGCCCGUCACACCAUGGGAGUGGGCUGCAAAAGAAGUAGGUAGUUUAACCUUCGGGGGGACGCUUACCACUUUGUGGUUCAUGACUGGGGUGAAGUCGUAACAAGGUAGCGCUAGGGGAACCUGGCGCUGGAUCACCUCCUUAAACGAUGAU